CUCGAUCCAUUCACACUCCACACAAAUCACAUGAGCUUGUUCCACUCUCCGUCACCGAGUUGCUUCUUCUCUCCAUCGCACCAGCUUCUUCCGCCGCUGUCGCCGCCGCUCGCCUCGCAGGAUCUCUCUUUGUCAUCCCUUGCGUCGCACGAGCUCCCUCCGCCGCUGCUCUCGUCGCGUCUGCAGCGAUUCGUGAAACUCAUCUCAACUCGGUGGUUAUUGUUGAAUGGCGAAGCUUGAAGCGAAGCUCGGAAUGAUAGUUGACUCCGUUGGUAACUUCUUCUCCGGCAAAGACCAACUUCUCUGGUGUGACCCUGACAUCGUCGCUAAUAAACGAUUUGAAUUGAAAUCAGAUAGAAGAAGGGAGAGCAGUUGUGGUGUUGCAGUCUCCUGGAGCUGGUAUCGGAAGUGAGCUGUGGUAUCAGAGGUGGUGGUGAUGUUGGCGGCGAUGAAGGAUGAGAGGAGGAGGAGGAGGAGGAGGAGGGGGAUCGAAGCGGGAAGGGAGUGAUUUGGAGAAAUCGAGGUUGUUAGGGGAAGGGCGCCUCCUCCUUGGCUUGGUACCAAGAAAGGAAGGGAAGUUCCAUUGCUCCUCAGCUGCGAUCGCGUUCUCAACUGACACUCUGAGAUGCGUUGUUGAAGAAGUAGGCACAGUCUUUGUCUUCUUCAAUGGAGGCUUCUUCAGCUGGUUCUGCUUCUGCUUUGAACCUCCGUCAUCAUCCCUACUGUUGUCUCGCAUUCUUCACCGAUGCCUGGGAUCUACGAUGGACUUCUUCAAUUAGUGAUCUUGCACAGAAGGUGUUUGUGGAUUUGACGAGAUGGUGGCAGGGAAGGAGAGGAAGUAUUACAUGCUUAGUGGGAAAGGGGGUGUGGGAAAAACAAGCUGUGCUACCUCCCUUGCAGUGAGAUUUGCAAAUCAUGGGCACCCCCACUAUGGUGGUUUCAACUGACCCUGCUCACUCCUUAAGCAACUCUUUUGCUCAGAAAAAUGUGCUGGCUGAGUCUAGGAUGAUGAUUCCUGAUUUCCACAAGCGCCUUAAGGCCACACUUGUGGAUUUAAAAGGAGCAUUG